GAGAGAUGCUAUCAAAAUUUUUAUAAUAAUAAAAUAAAAUAUCGACUAAUAAUAAUAAUAAGAUUAUUAUUUUUCUGAAAAGGAUAGGACCACAUAUGUUAGUAAUGAUUUGAAAUGAAUAGGAUCAUGCAUUUUUAUUUCAUUAAAUUAGUGGAAGGAGACUUUCUAUGUUACUGUUCAGUCUAUAUUUUUUAGUGCAUGCUAUUUUGUAUAAAAUGAUCCGUAUUCGGAUCC
rnacentral:lncRNA from 1 species